rnacentral:misc_RNA from 1 species
GGUUGAGUCUGAUUCUCAAAGCAUUGUGAGGCAAUGCUAUAACAAAAUCUUCUGACACUUCUAGUAGAGAAAGGCAUCCAGAUGCAAAAAAGUGUCUAUAAGAUUUCCAUGCUACUCCCUCCAUUUCAAAAAGAAUGACCCUAUUUCCUUUUUAGUUUAUUUCAAAAAGAAUGACCCCUUUCCUUUUUUGGAAACACUUUAACUUUUCACAUGGCAAUGUUUAAGACAACAAGAUUAAAGGACCACAUUUUGGUACAUUUGACAUAACUUUAAUUUAGAACAACACGAUUAAAAAGUCUUCUUUCUUUUCUUAAACUCUAUUCCAAGUCAAACUAGAUCAUCCUUUUCAAAACAGAUGCAGUAUUUCUUUUUCUUAAAUUCAAAGAUGAACAUGAGAUUUUAUGAUAUAUCAAGAAGAUUAUGAAAGUUCAUGUAUUGUUGCAAAAGAAAUCAAAAAAAUUAUUUUCCAAAAGGGUUGGCAUGAGUUUGUGAAAGCCGG